UACGUAGGCAGCGAGCGUUGUUCGGAGUUACUGGGCGUAAAGCGUGCGUAGGCGGUGUCUUAAGUUUGUUGUGAAAUCUCCCGGCUUAACCGGGAGGGUGCGGCGAAUACUGAGAUGCUGGAGUGCGGGAGAGGUAAGCGGAAUUCCUGGUGUAGCGGUGAAAUGCGUAGAUAUCAGGAGGAACACCGGUGGCGAAGGCGGCAUCCUGGACCGACACUGACGCUGAGGCGCGAAAGCUAGGGUAGCAAACGGG
rnacentral:rRNA from 1 species